CACGAACAACUCUAUUUUAGAAACUUAAACAUCAAAAAUCUAACAAUUACAGCAAAGAAAACAUUAAAAUAUCAACUUUCAACAUUAAAAUGACAUAUGAAACCUAAGAAAUAUUCAACUAAAUCUUAGUCCACCUAAAGUUUACUGUUGUCAAAUACAAUAAAUUUAAAAUAAACUUCAAAUAUCAUGCACUUCAAUAUCUUCUGUCAUCCCAAUAUUUCCAAGAGGCCUCAUUGGUGCCUCGUCAUCACUUUGUGCCUUCUCUUCUUGUUUCCUCGAACCAUAAUGCCACAACGUUGAAGCAUAUCUCGUGCGAAGAAGAUCUGGAUCAAAGUCAACAGUUGAAAAACCAUCAACAGUUGGAAUAUACACAUGCAUUACUCUUGCCGUGUAUAUUUGAUCACUCAACACCUACAGAAUCAUACACAUAUUUUUCUAUUAAAUCAUAGCUAUUGUAUUAAAUCAAAACAUAAAAUACAAUGAUUACAUUCACCAAUUACAUAUCAUAUUAAUAUUGAAAAUUAAAAAAAAAAAAAAAGAACAUAUCUAAUAUAUCUCUUAACAUUUAGAAAUACAGUCACAUGUCAAAACAGGACCACAUAUGUAUUUACAAAAUACAUCUUGAAGUAACAUAUCAGUAUCAAAUAUAAAUAUAUAUUUGUUCUGAAACAAAUACAUUUAAUAUGAUACAUAAAAUACAUAUCUUCACAUUACAAAGACAAAAAUACAUAUAUAAACAUAUUAUCCAUCAAAUAUAAGAUUACAAAUAUAAAAAUACAUAUCUAUACUAUAACAAAUACAUUUUAUCUGUUAUCAGUAACAAAUACAAAUCUUACAUUACCAAAUACACAUACAUAUCUAUAUUGAUAUAAAUACAACUCUUAUCAGUACCAAAAACAAAAAUAAAUACAAAUACAAAUCAGUAUCAAAAUAACAAAUACAUAUCAACACUGUAAAAAGUAUAUUUUAAAUUAUCUCUAAUAACAAAUACAAGUCUUAAUGUAACAGUGCAUAUCUUCACAUUACUAAUACAAAAAUACAUAUAUUAAAAUAUUAUCCAUAAAAUAAAAAAAUUACAAAUACAAUCUGAAAAUCAAACUUAGAAGUAACCCCAGCUAAACGACAAGAUAAAAGAGAGUUGCUCGGAUGGUAAAUACCUGUCACUAUCAACCCGAUUGUGAGUUCGAAUCACCGAAAAAGCAAAAAGGAUGCAAGCUUUUAGGGAGGAGGGUAACAAAAAAAUCUCAGCUGAACUUCUUUUUGAUUAAACAAAACCAAACUGCAUAAUCUCAUAUAGACCUCACUAACAACUAAUCCUUUAUGGGAAUCUGAGUUAUCCAAAGAUUGUUCCUUUAUUACCAAAUACACAUCAUAUAUAACAAUUAAUCAAGAAACAUAAUCAUGUCUCAAAUUUAGAAGUAAUCCAAGCCAAAUAAAUUCUUAAUUAAACAAAUCUAAACUAUAAAAUCUCAUCUUAGGCUUCAUUUACAUCUAAUCCUUUCUGGGUAUCCAAAGAUUGUUCCUUUUUUUACCAAAUAAACCUUCCAAAUUCAUUACUCCAUUAAACAAAAAUAAAAAAAAACAAUCUUGAAACUCAAAUUUAGAAUUAAACAAAUUCUUGAUAUAAUAUAAUCUUAAAAAUCAAACUACAUAAUCUCAAAUUAGGCUUCAUUUACAUCUAAUCCUUUACGGGGUUUCCAAAGAUUGCUCCUUUAUACCAAAUAACAAAUGCCCAUGAUUAAACAUUAACAUAAAACAAUUAAUCAAGAAACAUAAUAUUAUAUUAAUGACGGAUUAACAGAUAAAACUCAAGAAUAUUUGCUAAUUAAAAAUCAUCUAUAAUUUCAAAAAAAUAAAAAAGCAAAAAAGGAGAGGAACGUUACCAAGAAUCAAAGAAAUAGAGAAGUAAACAAAAACUCACUUCACAAAAGUCACCAUUAAACAAGUACCUCUCAUAAUAGUAAAUGUUUUCAACUAUUACGAUGUGCAUAUUCUGUCAUUAUCGAGUAACUCCAGAUAUUUC
rnacentral:lncRNA from 1 species